rnacentral:rRNA from 1 species
UACGUAGGUGACCAGCGUUGUCCGGAUUUACUGGGCGUAAAGAGCGCGCAGGCGGUCGUUCAAGUCGAGUGUGAAAGCCCCCGGCUCAACUGGGGAGGGUCAUUCGAUACUGAUCGACUGGAAGGCAGGAGAGGGAAGCGGAAUUCCCGGUGUAGUGGUGAAAUGCGUAGAUAUCGGGAGGAACACCAGUGGCGAAGGCGGCCGGCUGGUUGGAUACUGACGCUGAGACGCGAAAGCGUGGGGAGCAAACAGG